rnacentral:lncRNA from 1 species
UUUGUUACAUCAUGGUCAUCUUCUUAGUGAGAUACUUUAAAGCAUACUUCAUCUUCUUCAUUGGAAGAAGAUUCAUCUAAGAUUCUUCCUGAGGUUGACUCUUCAUCAUUUUUAGAGGCUUUAUUAUCCUUUCAUCUCUGAAAGUUUCUACUAGAUGAGGCUUAUUCUUCCUAUCCUCCUCUAGAUGAAGUUCUUUCAUUUGAUGUUAAAUUCUUCAAGGAUCGUUCAACUACCGAGACUUUUUUUGAAGGAAACCACUGGAGUUUACUUGUAGGAAUUUGAUGAAGUUUCUGAGGAUUCUUAAUACUUUUAGCUCAUGCCUUCAUCUUUAAGUAGUUGAACUAGUUCGUUCAACUUCUCUAUAAUUUAUUCCUUCUCCGUUUUUCCUAAAAUUCCUAAACAGUCUC